GUGAGUCAUCGAGUCUUUGAACGCACAUUGCGCCCAUUGGUAUUCCGAUGGGCAUGCCUGUUCGAGCGUCAUUAUCAACCCUCAAGCCCGGCUUGAUGUUGGAUCAGAACCCCCCCCGCGAGGGUGGGCUCGGUCCCAAAGACAAUGACGGCGUCUGUUAGACCCUCGGUGCAAUGAGCUUUAACCAGCACGCACUCGAGUCAAAGGACUUUCAGCCCGGUCCCCUUUUUAAUUUUUACAAGGUUGACCUCGGAUCAGGUAGGGAUACCCGCUGAACUUAAGCAUAUCAAUAAGCGGAGG
rnacentral:rRNA from 1 species